UGCCAGCAGCCGCGGUAAUACGGAGGGUGCAAGCGUUAAUCGGAAUUACUGGGCGUAAAGCGUACGUAGGAUGUAAUGCAAGUCGGAUGUGAAAUCCCCGGGCUUAACCUGGGAACUGCAUUCGAAACUACAUUACUAGAGUGUAGUAGAGGUAAGCGGAAUUUCGGGUGUAGCGGUGAAAUGCGUAGAUAUCCGAAAGAACAUCAGUGGCGAAGUCGGCUUACUGGACCAAUACUGACGCUAAGGUGCGAAAGCGUGGGGAGCGAACAGGAUUAGAUA
rnacentral:rRNA from 1 species